rnacentral:tRNA from 3 species
GCGGAUGUGGUGGAAUUGGCAGACACGCUAGAUUUAGGCUCUAGUGGGGCGACCCAUGCAAGUUCAAGUCUUGUCAUCCGCACCA